UGCUCUGCGGCUGGAGGCCCGGCACCCGGGGCCCGGGAGACGCGGCGGACACAGAGGGGUUUGUAGACGGGGUGACCUCCGCGCUCCCUCUCUGAAAGGGCCUGAAAGGAGCCGUUUAUGGUGCAUUACCAGUCAAGGGCUCAGGUCUGUCUUCUCAUCCGUCUUCCUGUGCAAAAAAGGGCCUGAGGCUGGGUGCACCUGUAACAAAGGUGGAAGCAGUGGCCUUCUCUCGCCUCUCCCCAGCGCCGGAGUCACUCCCUGUGCAGGAGAAACCAAGGAAGAUUCCAUACCCUCAGUGGUCACCCCUGUGUGCGCGGGGCCCCUCUGUUCACUCAAAGGCCUCUCAAGGGGAGAACCCAAACCCCUCCGGUUGGCUUCUAUAAAGCAAAACCUGGAAAUGGUAUUUUCCUUAGGGAGGGGAUUGUUAAUAGAGUUUACUUCCUAGAUUGGCCCCCAGAAGCCUUUCACGGGACCAACAUACUCUAGAAAAAGAGCACAAAACACUGCCAUGAUAUUAAGAUAAUUAAAAAAAAAAACAACAACUGGUGUUUAAUGAUUUCAUGGCCAACCUUAAAAAGAGAAUGAGGCAGACACACAUUUUAGGUGUGUCUGAAUGAAACCUCUGGGUAUGUGCAAAGGUUUUAGAGGUUGUCUGCCUUGUUUCCUUAUCUAAUAUUACCCUUUUCCUUCUUGCAGGCACAUGACCACAAUUCCUUUUAUAGGAGUUAUCAAUUAUUACCAUGAGCUUUUGACUAUUGAAUAAAACUAAGAGAUUUUCUUAAGUAACAGAGAAAUUGGACAGAGUGGUGAAGAGGAUGAAGAUGGGUGUGUGUCUGAAGAGAACAGUUUGAGAGGAGAAUGAAGGGCAGAGAAUAGAUUUCUUACAAAAUGAAAAAAGUCCUUCCCAUCUAAAAAGCAAAGCACAAAUCACCCCUGCUCUAUCAUCACAUUCACGACUAAAUUUCUUAAGUUGCUCAAAUUCGGUGUUUCGAUUUCCUCACCUUUAUCCAGUCCUCAGCACAUUGUAUUCUGGCCCACAUUCUCAACACCGAAACCCUCUCUUUUUAAAUUUUCACCAUUGACUUCUUUGCCCCCAAAUUUAAGGACAAUUUCCAGACCUUAUCUUGCCUAAAGCUGCAGCAAACGGGCCCAUUCUUCCUCCUGAUACUAGGAGCAGAAUCCUCCAUAUCUGUUUUGUUUGUUUCUCUUCCCCAUAGUCAUUAGGUACCAAGUCCUAAUGUUCUCCUUCUAGAAUAUGUCUCCAAUCCGCCCAGCCACCACCCAGUUCAGGUCUUUAUAAUCUCCCGGCUGCUCUCCUGCUACCAUCUUCUGAUUUGUCUCCCAUCCCGCCAGUAAUCUUGCUUUGCUCCGACCCAUUUUCCAGCACUGCAGCCUGAGUGUCCUUCCUAAGUGACCAAGUUGAUCAUGCUACCCUCUGCUUAAAACCCUUUCUCAGCUUUUCCAUUUCCUGACUACUUAUGUAUGAAUUAUAAAUAUGUGCUGCUUGAAUGCUCCUGUACUGGACAAUUACAUACAUUAUAAAGAAUAAGACAUAUGACUUUAAAAUAAUGAGAUAAAAGUAUAGAUUAUAGUUCAACAUUGUCUUCUCAUACCCCAGUGCAUCUUCUCAUCCACUCUGGAAAUGGUCUGUGUUAGGCCAAACUCCUUAAUACAGCCUCCAAGGUCUUCCUUUCUCAUGGACACAGAGGGGUUUAUAGACAGGAUGACCUCUCUUUACUUCAUCCUUAAUAAAGUUCUUUUAUUUCUUCAAAUGCCAUGAUAAUCAUUCUCUGUUUGUCUCUGGUUCACAUUAAUUUCAACCUCUGUUCUCUGUUUCCAUUAGUCUGUAAGCUCCAUGAAAAAAGAAAUCUGUUUAUCAUAGUCCCCAGCACAGAAUAGGUGCUCGAUAAGUGUUUGUUGCACAAAUGAGCAUGACACUUCUCAGAGGCAGCCAUGUUUUCCAGAGAGAGGCUAGAAAGCAGAGAAACCUGGUCCAGAGAAAUAAGAACCAGGCAGAAGUUGCAGAGGGG
rnacentral:lncRNA from 1 species